CUAGAAUGAUGAGUCACAAGAUAGGGACAACUGACUUUGAUUGAAGAGAAACGUCUUUUGCCAGUUUUAGUAGAACUUAGUGCACCUCUGACA
rnacentral:snoRNA from 1 species